UACGAAGGGGGCUAGCGUUGUUCGGAAUUACUGGGCGUAAAGCGUGCGCAGGCGGCUUCUCAAGUCAGGGGUGAAAGCCCAGAGCUCAACUCUGGAAUUGCCGUUGAGACUGAGUGGCUUGAGUACGGGAGAGGUGAGUGGAAUUCCCAGUGUAGAGGUGAAAUUCGUAGAUAUUGGGAAGAACACCGGUGGCGAAGGCGGCUCACUGGCCCGUAACUGACGCUCAUGCACGACAGCGUGGGGAUCAAACAGG
rnacentral:rRNA from 1 species